rnacentral:rRNA from 1 species
AUUGAACGCUGGCGGCAGGCUUAACACAUGCAAGUCGAGCGGAUGAAAGUAGCUUGCUACUGGAUUCAGCGGCGGACGGGUGAGUAAUGCUUAGGAAUCUGCCUAUUAGUGGGGGACAACGUUCCGAAAGGAGCGCUAAUACCGCAUACGUCCUACGGGAGAAAGCAGGGGACCUUCGGGCCUUGCGCUAAUAGAUGAGCCUAAGUCGGAUUAGCUAGUUGGUAGGGUAAAGGCCUACCAAGGCGACGAUCUGUAGCGGGUCUGAGAGGAUGAUCCGCCACACUGGGACUGAGACACGGCCCAGACUCCUACGGGAGGCAGCAGUGGGGAAUAUUGGACAAUGGGGGGAACCCUGAUCCAGCCAUGCCGCGUGUGUGAAGAAGGCCUUUUGGUUGUAAAGCACUUUAAGCGAGGAGGAGGCUACCUAGAUUAAUACUUUAGGAUAGUGGACGUUACUCGCAGAAUAAGCACCGGCUAACUCUGUGCCAGCAGCCGCGGUAAUACAGAGGGUGCGAGCGUUAAUCGGAUUUACUGGGCGUAAAGCGUGCGUAGGCGGCCAAUUAAGUCAAAUGUGAAAUCCCCGAGCUUAACUUGGGAAUUGCAUUCGAUACUGGUUGGCUAGAGUAUGGGAGAGGAUGGUAGAAUUCCAGGUGUAGCGGUGAAAUGCGUAGAGAUCUGGAGGAAUACCGAUGGCGAAGGCAGCCAUCUGGCCUAAUACUGACGCUGAGGUACGAAAGCAUGGGGAGCAAACAGGAUUAGAUACCCUGGUAGUCCAUGCCGUAAACGAUGUCUACUAGCCGUUG